rnacentral:rRNA from 1 species
CUGACGCAGCAACGCCGCGUGGGGGAUGAAGGUCUUCGGAUUGUAAACCCCUUUCGGGAGGGAAGAUGGAGUGGGGUAACCCAUUCGGACGG